rnacentral:rRNA from 1 species
GAUGAACGCUAGCGACAGGCUUAACACAUGCAAGUCGAGGGGCAGCGGGAGUGAAGCUUGCUUCACUUGCCGGCGACCGGCGCACUGGUGAGUAACGCGUAUGCGACCUGCCCGCGGCCGGGGGAUAAUCCAUAGAAAUGUGGUCUAAUACCCCAUAUGCCGGAUUCCUACAUGGGGAUUCGUUGAAAGGAGAGAUCCGGGCGCGGAUGGGCAUGCGUCUGAUUAGCUGGUUGGCGGGGCAACGGCCCACCAAGGCGACGAUCAGUAGGGGUUCUGAGAGGAAGGUCCCCCACAUUGGUACUGAGACACGGACCAAACUCCUACGGGAGGCAGCAGUGAGGAAUAUUGGUCAAUGGGCGGAAGCCUGAACCAGCCAAGUCGCGUGAGGGAAGACGGUCCUACGGAUUGUAAACCUCUUUAGCCGGGGAGUAAAGUGCGUGACGGGUCACGCAUUGAGAGUACCCGGAGAAUAAGCAUCGGCUAACUCCGUGCCAGCAGCCGCGGUAAUACGGAGGAUGCGGGCGUUAUCCGGAUUUAUUGGGUUUAAAGGGUGCGCAGGCGGCUCGUCAAGUCAGCGGUGAAAGCCCGGGGCUCAACCCCGGUAAGCCGUUGAAACUGGCAAGCUGGAGUUCGGGCGAGGCAGGCGGAAUGCGCGGUGUAGCGGUGAAAUGCAUAGAUAUUGCGCAGAACUCCGAUUGCGAAGGCAGCUUGCCAGCCCUGGACUGACGCUGAGGCACGAAAGCGUGGGUAUCGAACAGGAUUAGAUACCCUGGUAGUCCACGCGGUAAACGAUGAAUACUGGCCAUGUGGUCCGAUUGGGGAUUGCGUGGCUGAGCGAAAGCAUUAAGUAUUCCACCUGGGGAGUACGCCGGCAACGGUGAAACUCAAAGGAAUUGACGGGGGCCCGCACAAGCGGAGGAACAUGUGGUUUAAUUCGAUGAUACGCGAGGAACCUUACCCGGGCUCAAACGCCUGCUGGCGCGCCGAGAGAUCGGUGUUUCCGCAAGGACGGCAGGCGAGGUGCUGCAUGGUUGUCGUCAGCUCGUGCCGUGAGGUGUCGGCUUAAGUGCCAUAACGAGCGCAACCCCCAUUUCCAGUUGCCACCGGGUGAAGCCGGGCACUCUGGAGAGACUGCCGGCGCAAGCUGCGAGGAAGGCGGGGAUGACGUCAAAUCAGCACGGCCCUUACGUCCGGGGCUACACACGUGUUACAAUGGCGGAGAACAGAAGGGAGCCACCUGGCGACAGGGCGCUGAUCCCGAAAAUCCGUCUCAGUUCGGACUGGAGUCUGCAACCCGACUCCACGAAGCUGGAUUCGCUAGUAAUCGCGCAUCAGCCAUGGCGCGGUGAAUACGUACCCGGGCCU